UGGGGAAUUUUGGACAAUGGACGCAAGUCUGAUCCAGCCAUGCCGCGUGCGGGAAGAAGGCCUUCGGGUUGUAAACCGCUUUUGUCAGGGAAGAAACGAGUUUCUCUAAUACAGAGACUUAAUGACGGUACCUGAAGAAUAAGCACCGGCUAACUACGUGCCAGCAGCCGCGGUAAUUCGUAGGGUGCAAGCGUUAAUAGGACUUAAUGGGCGUAAAGCGUGCGCAGGCGGUUAUGCAAGACAGGGGUGAAAUCCCCGUGCUCAACCUGGGAACUGCCUUAGUGACUGCAUAGCUAGAGUACGGUAGAGGGGGAUGGAAUUCCACGUGUAGCAGUUAAAUGCGUAGAUAUUCGGAGGAACACCGAUGGCGAAGGCAAUCCCCUGGACCUGUACUGACGCUCAUGCACGAAAGCGUGUGGAGCAAACA
rnacentral:rRNA from 1 species